UGAGGAAUUUUGCGCAAUGGGCGCAAUCCUGACGCAGCAACGCCGCGUGGGUGAAGAAGGCCUUCGGGUCGUAAAGCCCUGUCAGGUGGGAAGAAGGGUCCUAUCAGGAAAGGGGUGGGAUUUGACGGUACCACCAGAGGAAGCACCGGCUAACUCCGUGCCAGCAGCCGCGGUAAUACGGAGGGUGCGAGCGUUAUUCGGAAUUACUGGGCGUAAAGCGCGUGUAGGCGGGGGAGCAAGUCUGAUGUGAAAGCCCCGGGCUUAACCCGGGAAGUGCAUUGGAAACUGUGUUUCUUGAGUACUGGAGAGGAAGGGGGAAUUCCCGGUGUAGAGGUGAAAUUCGUAGAGAUCGGGAGGAAUACCAGUGGCGAAGGCGCCCUUCUGGACGGUUACUGACGCUGAGACGCGAAAGCGUGGGGAGCAAACAG
rnacentral:rRNA from 1 species